UGGGGAAUAUUGCACAAUGGAGGGAACUCUGAUGCAGCGACGCCGCGUGAGUGAUGAAGGAAUUCGUUUCGUAAAACUCUGUUCUAUGGGAAGAAAGGACUGUACCAUAGGAGAAAGCUCCGGCUAAAUACGUGCCAGCAGCCGCGGUAAUACGUAUGGAGCGAGCGGUGUCCGGAAUUAUUGGGCGUAAAGGGUGCGCAGGCGGCUUUACAAGUUGGAUGUGAAAUAUUGUGGCUCAACCACAAACGUGCAUCCAAAACUGCAAAGCUUGAGUUAAGGAGAGGUAAGUGGAAUUCCUGGUGUAGCGGUGGAAUGCGUAGAUAUCAGGAGGAAUACCGGUGGCGAAGGCGACUUACUGGACUUAAACUGACGCUCAGGCACGACAGCGUGGGGAGCAAACAGG
rnacentral:rRNA from 1 species